rnacentral:rRNA from 1 species
GUCCACGCCGUAAACGAUGAGUGCUAGGUGUCGCGGGUAUUGACCCCCGCGGUGCCGAAGUUAACGCAUUAAGCACUCCGCCUGUGGAGUACGGCCGCAAGGCUAAAACUCAAAGGAAUUGACGGGGGCCCCGCACAAGCGGUGGAGCAUGUUGUUUAAUUCGACGCAACGCGAAGAACCUUACCUGGGUUGGAAACCCCCCGGAACCUUCCAGAGAUGGAGGGGUGCCCUUCGGGAGCCGGGUGUCCAGGUGCUGCAUGGCUGUCGU